rnacentral:rRNA from 1 species
CACCCCCACCCCUCCUCCCAUCCCCUAACCCUAGCUCCUCCCCUACAUCGCGCCGCCUGGCCUCCUCCCCUCCCGUCGCGCUAGCGCAUCCCCUGCCGCCAUCGUCGCUCGCCCCGGUCCCCGUCCUGCAGCGGUGUCCGAGGAGGACUAGCCGCGCCACGGCCGCACAUCCCGUCCUGCAGCGGUGGUCCACGGGAUCGGCACCGGCACCGGCCUCCUUGCUCCCGCUCGAGUCAUGGAGGGACAACCAGCAGCGGCGGCCCAGGAGAUCGACGACUAGCCGAGGCGAGUCGCCUUCGAUUCUGCAGGAGCCCGACGGCUGUCUCCUCCUCUGCAGCCGCACACGAGCGGCCAGCCCUGGACUAGGUCGCGGCAUGAGAAGCGGACGUCCGAGGCAUGUCCAAGUGCGCCCCUCUCCCUCCCUGCGCGCGCGUGUGUGUGUGUUUGUGUGGGCCUGAUUCCGUUCGUCCGCGCUGGCUUGGCAGCACCACUGCCCGCUCGAUACGUCCCCCGCCCCAGCUGCCGACCCCCUCCUCCACGGCGGCGCCUUCGUCCCCGGCGACGCACGACAGCAGCCCACUACAGGUGAUAUUCGAUUUCAUGGUGAUGUACAUGCUUUGCAUGCUUAAUCCUAGCACUACUUCUGUUUUCUUUUGCACACAAGGGAACUUGCUAUUCCUGCGGUCAUUGAUUAGUAAACAAAGAGGCAAGAGGGAGGGAGCAAUGGAUAAGAAGGACGGUGAAGAUAGGGGACAAGAGCUGCUCGCUGCAGCCGCUUGUCGGCGGCCCCAAUGGCCUCGUCCCCUGCCAAGAUGAUAAGCCGUGAGAUGGCGGUGCCGCCGAUGGCCAGCCGCAGGAUGAGACCAGGGACAAUAGGUCCCUGGUCGACAAUAACACCGUGCAGACGCUGUCCAGCAAGGACAUCGAGGCGACGAAGCGGGAGGGUGCCAGCGGUGACGCCAUCGUGGAGGCUUUGAUAGCAAAUGGCUCCACAUUUGGAAAUAAGACAGUGUUCUCACAGGAGAAAUACAAGCUGAAGGAACAAAACAAAUAUGCGCCUAAAGUGCUUUUGCGGCGCCCCUCUACCCGAAGGUUUAUGUGAGUUGAUGCACUCUCCCUCUUGUUGUCUAUGGCAAAUGUUGGUGCAUAUUCAGAUGUGCUUGCCGUUCAUAUGGUUGGGGGUUUAGUUGUUGGAGCUGUAUCUGAACACUUAGGAGGGAUUUGCGCGGUGGAGACAGCUAUCCAUUUGUGCGGUCAUUGGAUUAGUAAACAGAGAGGGGGGAGGGAGGGAGCAAUGGACAAGAAGGCAACAAAGAUGAAGAUGCUCUCGUCGGCAGCGGCUUUCGUGGAGGGUGGCGUGCAGGACACCUUCGACGACGCCUGCAACAUCUGCCUUGAGGCCUUCUGCGACAGCGAGCCCUCCGGUUAGCUGCAAGCAUGAUUUCUAUCUCCAGUGCAUCCUUGAGUGACAAGACAAGCAGCAGCGGCGACGCCGGACCAGUCACCCCCGCACCUCCAGUUUUCCUUCAGGGCUGUGAGCCUUGUGUUGGGAGGAUCCCAGGCCGAAUGAUGCUUGAUCUCCUUUUGGAGGAGCUUGUGUUUACCGCAGCCCGUUAUAGUCGAAGGGGCUAUUUAAGUAACACCAUGAGUUCAUUUACUGGUGUUCGAUCCUCCGAUGAGGCAGCGGCGGAAGACUUGCCUUUUUGAAGCCAUCAGGACCAUCGAAAAUGCCACAAGAACAGUGGUCAAAGAUCUGAAUUAUGGACGCUUAAACAAGAUGGAACAAGACUUUGGUUAUCUAAGGCUCAGGCUCAAUGAAGCAUUUGACACAAUAGACAGGGUUGCCAAAGGAUAUUUGUAUGCUAUAAGAUACAUGCCAGCUUUCUUACAUCAGCUUCAUAAUGUGAUAGCACAUACUUUUCCUCCUACUCGUGUUGUGGACAAGUCAACAAAUGAGGCUCUCAAGAAUAUUGAGGUGGUAGCUCAUAAUCUCAGGACAGAAGCAAUAGUCUUGAGAACAAGCUAUAUGUGUUGAGAAGGCAGAGUCAAGCGCGCGUGAACAUGUGUAGCUUGCUUUCGGACUAAAUCCUUUGUAGUUGUGUGGACCAACUUUUAUAUACUAAGGGCGUGUUCGGUAGCCCUCCAGUCCUCCAC